rnacentral:lncRNA from 1 species
AUAAGUUUCCAGUGUGCAUGGAACAUGCUCCAUUGACUUUUAUCAGGUAACUAGACUCAAUCAAUAUUUUUGAUAUAUUGAUCUGAUCAAAAGAAAUGCUUUGACAUCAAGUAAGAACCUUAAAUGUAAAAAUAAUCCUCAAAUAUGUAGAACAUUCCUGAGUCAAAGAUGAAAAAAGUCAGGUGUCUACUCCUUCUGCCUAGUACUUCAGCCACACUGCCAAAAAGAGAAUGCAUGAAUUCUUUAGAUGACUCAAGAUAAAAAAUAAAUAAAUAAAAGAAAAAAAUAAAACAUAGACACAAUUUAAUCUGGCCUUAAUUAGUCCCAGUGAACAGGAUUUUGGGAUUUUGAACAAUUCCCUCAAGAUUUCUAGUAUGUAUCCAUAGAAAUGGUUUUUGGCUUUGUUGAAUUCUCUAAUAUGCUCUCUCUCUCUCUCUCUCUCUCUCUCUCUCUCUCUCUCUCUCUCUUCUCCUUCCCUCCAUCCCUCCCUCCCUCUCUCUCCCUCUGUGUGUGUGUGUAUGUGUGUGUGUGUGUAUUUAUUCCUAAAUUGUAAUAUGAGAUGGCUUUAAUUACUGAGACUCUAUUAUGUGGCAGCUGUAUCAUUUAUAUUACUCCAUUCAUUUUGAUAACAUUCCCAUAAGAAAAGAAUUAUCAGAAUGAUAUUACAGACAAGGAAACCAAAGCCAAAGAGAUUAAAUAACCUUUUCAAGGUCUGAAACUGGGGAGUUUUUUAGCUGGAUUUGAACCUAGAUUCAAAGUUAAUCCCUUUUUAAAAGAAAAAAAAAUUGUACAUUGCAGCCAAGCAUUUUGACACUCACCUAUAAUUCCAGCUGCUUAGGAGGCUCUGGCAGGAGGAUUUCAAGACUGAGGCCAGCCUGGGCAACUUAGUGAGAUCCUGUCAAAAUAAAAAAAAAAUUAAAAAAAAAGUAGCUGGGGUUUUAGCACAGUAGUAGAUCACUUGCCUAGCAUAUACACAGUAGCCUGGCUUUAGCACAGUAGUAGAUCACUUGCCUAGUGUAUCCACAGGUUCAAUUUCCAGUAUUGGGAGGAAAAAAGUGACAUUGCUACUUUUAGGUUAGGGACUGUUAAUAGUCCCAGCAGUAUGAUUUUUAUUUUCCAGGAGUUCAGUCAUCUCACUAUGCCCUAAUCCUUAUAAUCAAAAGAAGCAAUUCUGUGGCUGGCUGCCAGAGGCAGGGGUGCAGUCAUGAUGAUAGACAUCAAGUUGGCCAUCACUGAGUUGUUUAUCCUGCACCUAGCCCUAUGCUGAGCCUAAUGGAACCUGCAAAACACUGCAAAAUUUAGUCUCCUUCCCCAAUAAAUUACAUUGAACAGAGAUUGUUUCUUUUUUAAAUUACUGUAUUUCCCAAGUGUUUCACCAGUGGCAAUUGAAAUGAUUUUAGGUGGUCCACUGAACCCAUAUUAAGUAAUCUUAAGUCUCAAAGAGCAAUGCAGUGCCUUUUCUCUCUCCGAUAACAAUAACUAUCAAGGAGAAUGGCUCAGUUUGGCGCUUGUGUGCUUUUAAAACUGCUGCUAACCUCUUUUGCCAAUAAAAUAAAGGGAAGCAUUUGGCUCAGAGCCUUUGGCAAGCAAUCAACAAAGCAUUUAUUUUAUUGGUAUCCUCUAUUAGUGACAAUUGGUACUAAUUUUUCAUUUCUGAUAGUGAUAUAAAUUUUUCUAAGUUAAUUUAAGGUAAAAGUGAGUCAGUUAAAAUAUUUUUAAAUUAAUAGUAUAGAAAUAUAUCAAUAAUGCAUAUUGAAUAGCAAUACAAAAAUAUGGCAAGAAAGUCAAACCUGGAAGAUGAAUGACUUGAAAUACUACCAAAAAGAACAGGCAGGUUAUAGGCAGCCUAUCCUGUAUUCUCUCCUGGAUCAGGCUUGGCCCCAGCUCAGUUACAGGGAAAGGCUGUCUCUUAUUUCUUCUGUGAAGAAUGAAUGGAAGUGAAAUAUUCUUUUCUGUAGAACAGAUUUUUUUGUGAACCAAAAAUUAUUCAUGUAAGUCUCAUUCUUAGUAAUUAGAUGCUAUCAUAAAAAAAAAAAAGUGGUCAGUAAGUGAUUUUUCUUUCCAGGCAAACUAUAAAUAAUCUUUGGAAAUAAAACCAAGUUGGUUCUAACAAGAUAAAGAUAAUAAACCUUGAAAUCAUGGUUCCAGUAAUUAAGAGUUUCAUUAGGGAAGAUUAAACAAGAAUAAGCAGGUAAUACAUUUGCUAUUUAGUUGCAAAAAAUAAGGAGGGCUAUGCAUCUUGCACAACCUUUCUCUUUAUAAUGCAAAUAUGGAAUCAUAAGAAGAACUUUCUUGCCAGUGUUGACUGAGAAUGUAUGCUCCUUAUGAAGCAAAAAUCCCAAAUCCAAAGCUUUAUUAUUUUGUCCCAUUAUCUAGCUUUAUACACCUUGUAUGUGGGGACACUCCUACAACAGUUCCUACAGGGUGGAAUUUGUCUCUCUGCUAUUGGAACAUGGGACAAAUGGUCCCUGAAAAUUUGCUAAUUGAAUUAAUGAAGGCUGACACUUAAGCUCCUGAAACUGAUUUAUAUAAUCAUUCUUGAGAGAUAUCCUUUCAUAAUGUCUUUUGCCUUUCCCCAAGUUCUAAAACAGACCUUACAAUAUGACUUGACACUAUCUUGAUGCAUCAAUUUGUCACUAUGAAAAUUAACAAAUAAAUCUCAAUUAUACAACUUCUGAUAUCUGGAGUGCUAGGAGAGUUUCAUGAAGUUGUUUACCCAUGCUAAAUGGCCUCAGGUGAACUAACUGUCAUAUAUAUAUAUAUUUAGUACCAGGUAUUGAACCCAGGGGUGCGCAACCACUGAGCCACAUCCCCAGCCAUUUCUUGUCAUGGGGGAUAAUAAAAGACAGGGUCUCAUUAAGUUGCUUAGGGCCUUGCUCAGUUGCUGAGGUUGGCUUUGAACUCAGGAUCCUCCUGCCUCAGCAGCCUAAACUGCUGGGAUUAUAGGGGAGUACCACCACUCCCAGCAAAUGGUCCAAACUCUUGGUAGUAUUUUAUAUUUAUCUUUAUCUACCCUUUUUGCAAUAUUGUCAGUUGUCAUUAUGGUUCACCAUCAAGGUACCUGAUUUUGGCAACUUCAUUUAAAACUUCUGGAAAAUGAAGUGCCCUGGAGAGGCAAUGGGAAAACUCUUCUAUGACAUUAUCCCUGCAGCAUAAGCAUAAUACAUAGGCUUUAUGAUAUCUACUUUAGCUACUGAGAACUAAGUUCUGUACUUCCUUCCCAGGCAUGUCCCACAUAGUCAAGGUUUCUAGACAAAUUAUCUGAACAAAUGAGAUGCUUGUGUAAAUAAUACAUACAACCUAACCCUAUUUUAAAGCACAUUAAUUUUUCAGUUUGAAUUCAUUCCUGUUUCAAAUUAUUUUGCCAGGAAGAGACUAUUCUGCCCAAAUAUUUCAUUCAGAAACUAUGAAGUUCUUUAUAUUCAGAUCUCCAUGCAUCCUGCUGACACGUUUCAUUUUGGCAGAGGAUGUUCAUCUUUCAAAGUUUUGAUUCUCAUUAAAACAAAAAUCAAACCUCCAUCAACAAAAGCAACCUACUAACUCCCACCAGUGAGUUAGGCUUCUACCAUGGAGGCAUUCUUGAUCCUUUCUUGGUGGUGAGUUUUGAUGGCUAUCCUGGCCCUAUUACAUGUGGGGAACUCUUGCUGCAGCCCUCAGUGUCCCGCAGAGUUUGACUCAUGCUCACUUCUAAGACCAUCUCAUGCUCUCUCGCCUGGCUCAGGGUCUCCCAGGCAGGUGGGCCUCCUUCCAUUAGGGCUUUCACAAUGCCAACCCUCUGUCCUUUCAGGACCUCUGUUGUGCUGUUCCCUCUGCCCACAUCCCUCUCUCCUCUGGCUUUUCACACAGCUUCACUAUCACCCCCCCCACCCCCACCCCCGCCAUCACAGAGGCCUCCUUUGAACAGUUAUUGAAAUUCAAUCUUCCUUACAGAUUAAUUUCUCUUGUUAUGUAGUUUUUUCUCCAUGAUUUUACCAUAGCUUAAAAUUAUUUGUGUUGGUUUGUUCCUUUUUCCUGUCUUUUCUUUUAUAUUUUAUAGUUCCUGAUGGCAAACCCUGGGUCUACUCAAAGACCAUUCUAUCUCCAGUGUAUGGCACAGUAGGCCUUCAACACAAGCUAGUGCAAAGAAGGCAGGAUGAUGCCUCUGGGCUCCUGAAAAGUGAGCUCAUGAGGGAAGAAUGAAGAAGGAGCUCACCUGGGAGAUAGAAAUGAUGACAAAAAAAAAAUCCCAAUGUAUCCAAAAAAGAAAACAUAUGAGAAAGAGAGCAGAGCAUAAGGUGACAGAGGGAACCACUCUCAUUCUUAGUGUUUGGAGGAUGACAGGAAAAGAUGACACUUUUCCCAGGAAAGAGUGGGAAAUCUGUUGACUGGAGAAGGGGCAACACAGGCUUCUUAAAGAUGGUGGAUGGGACUUAGCAUCAACCAAUGUUUGCCAUGAAGAAAUAAGAAGCCAGUAUGGCCACAGAUUGACCUUUUUUUUUUCCAACAGAAGAUAGACAUCUAAAUUUCUAUAUUAAUUCUGGUAUCUAAUAUGAAUUCUAUGAUCUUAAUUUCUAUAUGAAUGCUGGCUGUAAUGCUGGAAACUAACUCAAUUUUUUUUUAAAUUAGGAGUCAAUAUUUACUGAGUUAAACAUUCCUAUCUGAGUUUCCAUUGUGUGAUCCAUGCUUUCAUGAAAAUCUUUAUUUCCUUUACAGGUUUUCCUAGAGGCAAAACCUGUUAAAAGUAUUUAAUAACUCCCAGCAUCCCUUCCCACCAUUUGUAAUUCAAAUGGCUUAAUAUUCAACUUUUCCAAGAAAAGCAAAUACCAUUGCUUUGAGUUCCAAGUUCCAAAUCCAUCUUUGUCCCCAAAUCUCUCUUUAAUAUACCUUGCUUAUUUCAUUCAUUAUGUAUAGCCCACACCCAGCACCGGGGAUAAAAUUGAAAAUAAUACAUACAUAUUCUUGCCCUCCUUGAACUUCUAUGUCAUGGCAAACAUAGAGAGAUGGACAGCAGUUAGAAGCUACCACCCAGAGCUUAUUAGUGCUUGCCAUGAUUUCUCCUUCUCCAUCAUUCCUCAUACCAGAUCAAUCCUUGAGUCAAACAGAUUCUCAAAUCUCUCAAAGCUCUCCACUCCUUUUUUUCUUUAUACCCACUGCUAUUGCUAAAGCCCAAGUAAAUAUAGGUUUUAUUUAAAGAAGAAAAAAUAGCAUUCUAAUUUACCUCCUUCUUUCUGUCCUUUGGCCACCUGCCACAGUCCACCUUCAACAUAAUGGCCAGCAUGAUCCCCUUUAAAAACAAGUUGGAUCAUGUCAUGUCUCUACUCAAAACUCUUCAACAGUGUCCUUGGUAAAGUUCUUUCAUUGACCUUCAAUGUCCUAGAUCUGGCCUCAUUCCCUCUCUUACUGUGUUCUGCCUCACCGACAUGGUUUCAGCUACCCUGGCCUCCUCAAACACAAACACACCUACCUCAAAGCCUUUGUCCUUGCUCUUUUCUGCCUAGCAUAGUCUUCUCCCAGAUGUCCUGGCAGCUCACUUUCUUGCUGCCUUUAGGUGUCUACUCAGAUGUCAUUCUGUCACCACAGUCUGCCCUAUGCACUUUACAGAAUGUAGCAGCACCUCUCCCUGUGUUGUUCAUUCCUUAUUCUGCUUCACUUUUCUUGAUCACACUUGGCACUCUCUUACAAACUAUUUAGUUAUGUGUUUAUUCCCUUAUUGUCUAUACCUAUCAUUGGAACAUAAGCUCCAAGAGGACUGGAUUGGAAUACUAAGCAGUGUCUCUGUGUAGGCACAUUUAAUGUUAUCCCUGAAGGGUAAGUAGGACAUGCCAGGCUGUAGUGGACUGGUGUGUUUGCAUGCAUGUGUGUACACAUGUGUGUGAGAAAGUGUGUGUGAAUGUGUUAAGGCUUGGAGGCAAAGGAGAGUACAAUGGCUUUGAGCAUCUGAAAUGUAUCUGAGCUAUACCUGUAUGACAAUAACAGAAUGAAUGAAAUGAGACAGAAAUAAAUAAUUCAAUAACAAGAGUUUGGAACUAUGGAAAACUUGGGUACUUGCAUUCUUGGAUACUCACUAGUACAGGAAUGCUGGACUUGUAUUAUCAGAUCUUUUGAUUUUUUAAGACAAACUGGAUUUUGACGAUUCCAAACAAAACAUGUCCAUAGCAGGCACACUCCCAACAAUUAACUUUCAACCUCUGACAUCCACAGUAAGAUACAAACUUUUAGCCUCAAUGCCUGUCUUCUAUGUCUAUUGCUUCAAUGCUAUUGAACUCAAUAGUAGUAUUCAUAUCUACACAACUUAAUACAAGUGAAUAUUCUCGAAUUUUUGACUCUCUUUUCCCUUUAUUUCUGAUCAAGUUUUUUUGUUGUUGUUUUGUUUUUAAGGGAGCAGAUGGCCUUUGUCUCCCUGAACCAAUAUGGAUUGUCACUCUCCUCUCCUUGGAAGCUACCACUCCCUGUAAAGCUACUCCGUUGGAACUCACACUUGACCAGAGUCACAUUGGCAGGCGGCUAUAGUUUUUCUGUGCUGGGUUUAUAACUCUUUUGUUCAACUUGUAGUUAGGUUUUAAAACUUAAUGCAAAAAUUAUCCUUUUUGUGUUCCUGAUUUUUUGCUUUGAAAAAUUGACAAAGGAUGAUGUAUGUUUUCAUAAAAGGAAAUUGUCAAGAUAAGUUUGUCACUCCCUGUUUUCAUAGGCUAAUGAUUUUCCCAGUUUGUUGUCAUCUAGAACAAGGGUCAGCAAACCAUGGCCUAAGGGCCAGAUCUGCCCAGUCACCAAUUUUUGUGUAAUCUCAGAUCUAAUAAUGGUUAUUACAUCUUAAAUGUUGGAAAACAUUGGAAGAAUAAUAAUAUUUUGUAACCCAGGAAAAAUCUAAUAAAAUUUAUAUUUCAG